AAUGACAAAUCAUGGAAACGUAGAUGAAGUAAAUGAUA
rnacentral:guide_RNA from 1 species